AAUUCCGAGGAGCGUUGCGACGAAAAGAUUCCUUUUCGCCAGGCUCGGAUAUCUCAACACUGCGCUCACGUUAC
rnacentral:ncRNA from 2 species